AAUGAACGCUGGCGGCAUGCCUAACACAUGCAAGUCGAACGAGACCUUCGGGUCUAGUGGCGCACGGGUGCGUAACGCGUGGGAAUCUGCCCUUGGGUUCGGGAAUAACAGUUAGAAAUGACUGCUAAUACCGAAUGAUGUCGUAAGACCAAAGAUUUAUCGCCCAGGGAUGAGCCCGCGUAAGAUUAGGUAGUUGGUGUGGUAAAGGCGCACCAAGCCGACGAUCUUUAGCUGGUCUGAGAGGAUGAUCAGCCACACUGGGACUGAGACACGGCCCAGACUCCUACGGGAGGGCAGCAGUGGGGAAGUUUUGCGCAAUGGGCUAACGCCUGACGCAGCAACGCCGCGUGGAGGAUGAAGGUCCUUGGAUUGUAAACUCCUGUCAGCAGGGAAAAAGCAAUUUAGCCUAAUACGCUAGAGAGUUGAUUGUACCUGCAGAGGAAGCCCCGGCUAACUCUGUGCCAGCCGCCGCCGUAAU
rnacentral:rRNA from 1 species